CCUACGGGUGGCAGCAGUGAGGAAUAUUGGUCAAUGGCCGAGAGUCUGAACCAGCCAAGCAGCGUGAAGGAUGACUGCCCCAUGCGUUGUAAACUUCUUUUAUCUGGGAAUAAAACAGGGUAUGCAUACCUUCUCGUAUGUACUAUAUGAAUAAGGAUCGGCUAACUCCGUGCCAGCAGCCGCGGUAAUACGGAGGAUGCGAGCGUUAUCCGGAUUUAUUGGGUUUAAAGGGGGCGUAGGUGGAUUGUUAAGUCAGUUGUGAAAGUUUGCGGCUCAACCGUAAGAUUGCAGUUGAAACUGGCAGUCUUGAGUACAGUAGAGGUGUGCGGAAUGCGUGGUGUAGCGGUGAAAUGCUUAGAUAUCGCGAAGAACUCCGAUUGCGAAGGCAGCACACCGG
rnacentral:rRNA from 1 species